AACGAACGCUGGCGGCGUGCCUAACACAUGCAAGUCGAACGAGAAAGCGGGCUUCGGCCCGCCGGUAAAGUGGCAGACGGGUGAGUAACACGUGGGUAACCUGCCCAAAGGUGGGGGAUAACCCUCCGAAAGGAGGGCUAAUACCGCAUGAUAUUCCAGGGAUUGCGGUCUUUGGAAUCAAAGCUAGCCUCUAUUUAUAAGCUAGCGCCAUUGGAGGGGCCCNCGGCCCAUUAGCUAGUUGGUGAGGAACGGCUCACCAAGGCGACGAUGGGUAGCCGGCCUGAGAGGGCGAUCGGGCCACACUGG
rnacentral:rRNA from 1 species